CCUAGAGUUUGAUCCUGGCUCAGGAUGAACGCUAGCGGCAGGCCUAACACAUGCAAGUCGAGGGGUAGAGGGUGCUUGCACCCUUGAGACCGGCGCACGGGUGCGUAACGCGUAUGCAACCUACCUAUUGCAGGGGAAUAGCCCAGGGAAACUUGGAUUAAUGCCCCAUAGUCUAUAAUGAGAGCAUUUGAUUUAUAGUAAAGAUUUAUCGGCAAUAGAUGGGCAUGCGUACCAUUAGCUAGUUGGUGUGGUAACGGCACACCAAGGCAACGAUGGUUAGGGGCCCUGAGAGGGGGAUCCCCCACACUGGUACUGAGACACGGACCAGACUCCUACGGGAGGCAGCAGUGAGGAAUAUUGGACAAUGGGCGGGAGCCUGAUCCAGCCAUGCCGCGUGCAGGAAGACUGCCCUAUGGGUUGUAAACUGCUUUUUUACGGGAAGAAACACCCCCACGUGUGGGGGCUUGACGGUACCGUACGAAUAAGGAUCGGCUAACUCCGUGCCAGCAGCCGCGGUAAUACGGAGGAUCCGAGCGUUAUCCGGAAUCAUUGGGUUUAAAGGGUCCGUAGGCGGGCGUCUAAGUCAGUGGUGAAAUUCUGCAGCUCAACUGUAGGACUGCCAUUGAUACUGGUCGCCUUGAAUCGUUGUGAAGUGGCUAGAAUAUGUAGUGUAGCGGUGAAAUGCUUAGAUAUUACAUAGAAUACCGAUUGCGAAGGCAGGUCACUAACAACGCAUUGACGCUGAUGGACGAAAGCGUGGGGAGCGAACAGGAUUAGAUACCCUGGUAGUCCACGCCGUAAACGAUGGAUACUAGCUGUCCGGCCUGCAUUGGUAGGCUGGGUGGCCAAGCGAAAGUGAUAAGUAUCCCACCUGGGGAGUACGUUCGCAAGAAUGAAACUCAAAGGAAUUGACGGGGGCCCGCACAAGCGGUGGAGCAUGUGGUUUAAUUCGAUGAUACGCGAGGAACCUUACCAGGGCUUAAAUGUAGUCUGACAGGGGUGGAAACACCCUUUUCUUCGGACAGAUUACAAGGUGCUGCAUGGUUGUCGUCAGCUCGUGCCGUGAGGUGUCAGGUUAAGUCCUAUAACGAGCGCAACCCCUGUCGUUAGUUGCC
rnacentral:rRNA from 1 species